rnacentral:rRNA from 1 species
CCAAUAGCGUAUAUUAAAGUUGUUGCAGUUAAAAAGCUCGUAGUUGAAUUUCGGGAUCAAUGUUUCGGUCAUGCCGUUGGUAUGUACUGAUAUUAUUGAUUUCUCACCUUCUAAAGAACCGUAAUGCAAUUAAUUUGGUGUCACGGGGAAUUAGGACUGUUACCUUGAAAAAAUUAGAGUGUUUAAAGCAGGCUCACGCUUGAAUACAUUAGCAUGGAAUAAUGAAAUAGGACAUCCGAUUCUAUUUUGUUGGUUUCUAGGAUCGAUGUAAUGAUUAAUAGGGAUAGUUGGGGGCAUUAGUAUUCAAUUGUCAGAGGUGAAAUUCUUGGAUUUAUUGAAGACUAACUACUGCGAAAGCAUUUGCCAAGGAUGUUUUCAUUAAUCAAGAACGAAAGUUAGGGGAUCGAAGACGAUCAGAUACCGUCGUAGUCUUAACCAUAAACUAUGCCGACUAGGGAUCGGAUGAUGUUAAUUUUUUAAUGACUCAUUCGGCGCCUUACG